CAGCCGCCGCGGUAAUACGAAGGGGGCUAGCGUUGUUCGGAUUUACUGGGCGUAAAGCGCACGUAGGCGGAUUCUUAAGUCAGAGGUGAAAUCCCAAGGCUCAACCUUGGAACUGCCUUUGAUACUGGGGAUCUCAAGUCCGGGAGAGGUGAGUGGAACUGCGAGUGUAGAGGUGAAAUUCGUAGAUAUUCGCAAGAACACCAGUGGCGAAGGCGGCUCACUGGCCCGGUACUGACGCUGAGGUGCGAAAGCGUGGGGAGCAAACAGGAUUAGAUACCCGCGUAGUCCCUGUCUCUUAUAC
rnacentral:rRNA from 1 species